rnacentral:lncRNA from 1 species
UCCCCUAUUAUAUUUUCUCCCCUAUACUGUUUUUCUUAUAGAAUUUGAUUCUAGUUUCUUCCUUAUAUUUUCUUCCCCUUUUUGUUAUCAUCAAAAAGAAUAAAUAACAAUGAAAUGGAUAGCAUUGUAAUGACAAUCACAAAGAUCAUAACUCAAGAGAAACAUUGUCUAUGCCAAAAGCACUAUGUUUUAGAGAAGAAAUACAAACUACCACAAAGAGCAAAUAUAAGUCAAAACAAAUAUAAAGUCUGGGAGAUACUUUAAGAACAUAC